rnacentral:piRNA from 1 species
UAGAUGACCACCUCCCCCAUGAGCCUUAUA